AGGCUCGUCCGCUCAGGGUUAGUCAGGACCUAAGCCGAGGCCGACAGGCGUAGGCGAUGGACAACAGGUUGAUAUUCCUGUACCACCUCUUUAUCGUUUGAGCAAUGGAGGGACGCAGAAGGAUAGAAGAAGCGUGCGAUUGGUUGUGCACGUCCAAGCAGUUAGGCUGAUAAGUAGGCAAAUCCGCUUAUCGUGAAGGCUGAGCUGUGAUGGGGAAGCUCCUUAUGGAGCGAAGUCUUUGAUUCCCCGCUGCCAAGAAAAGCUUCUAGCGAGAUAAAAGGUGCCUGUACCGCAAACCGACACAGGUAGGCGAGGAGAGAAUCCUAAGGUGUGCGAGAGAACUCUGGUUAAGGAACUCGGCAAAAUGACCCCGUAACUUCGGGAGAAGGGGUGCUUUCUUAACGGAAAGCCGCAGUGAAUAGGCCCAAGCGACUGUUUAGCAAAAACACAGCUCUCUGCGAAGCCGUAAGGCGAAGUAUAGGGGGUGACACCUGCCCGGUGCUGGAAGGUUAAGGAGAGGGGUUAGCGUAAGCGAAGCUCUGAACUGAAGCCCCAGUAAACGGCGGCCGUAACUAUAACGGUCCUAAGGUAGCGAAAUUCCUUGUCGGGUAAGUUCCGACCCGCACGAAAGGUGUAACGAUUUGGGCACUGUCUCAACCAGAGACUCGGUGAAAUUAUAGUACCUGUGAAGAUGCAUGUUACCCGCGACAGGACGGAAAGACCCCGUGGAGCUUUACUGUAGCCUGAUAUUGAAUUUUGGUACAGUUUGUACAGGAUAGGCGGGAGCCAUUGAAACCGGAGCGCUAGCUUCGGUGGAGGCGCUGGUGGGAUACCGCCCUGACUGUAUUGAAAUUCUAACCUACGGGUCUUAUCGACCCGGGAGACAGUGUCAGGUGGGCAGUUUGACUGGGGCGGUCGCCUCCUAAAGUGUAACGGAGGCGCCCAAAGGUUCCCUCAGAAUGGUUGGAAAUCAUUCGUAGAGUGCAAAGGCAUAAGGGAGCUUGACUGCGAGACCUACAAGUCGAGCAGGGACGAAAGUCGGGCUUAGUGAUCCGGUGGUUCCGCAUGGAAGGGCCAUCGCUCAACGGAUAAAAGCUACCCCGGGGAUAACAGGCUUAUCUCCCCCAAGAGUCCACAUCGACGGGGAGGUUUGGCACCUCGAUGUCGGCUCAUCGCAUCCUGGGGCUGUAGUCGGUCCCAAGGGUUGGGCUGUUCGCCCAUUAAAGCGGUACGCGAGCUGGGUUCAGAACGUCGUGAGACAGUUCGGUCCCUAUCCGUCGUGGGCGUAGGAAAUUUGAGAGGAGCUGUCCUUAGUACGAGAGGACCGGGAUGGACGCACCGCUGGUGUACCAGUUGUUCUGCCAAGGGCAUAGCUGGGUAGCUAUGUGCGGAAGGGAUAAGUGCUGAAAGCAUCUAAGCAUGAAGCCCCCCUCAAGAUGAGAUUUCCCAUAGCGUAAGCUAGUAAGAUCCCUGAAAGAUGAUCAGGUUGAUAGGUUCGAGGUGGAAGCAUGGUGACAUGUGGAGCUGACGAAUACUAAUAGAUCGAGGACUUAACCAU
rnacentral:rRNA from 1 species